UACGGAGGGUGCAAGCGUUAUCCGGAUUUAUUGGGUUUAAAGGGUGCGUAGGCGGCCUAUUAAGUCAGGGGUGAAAGACGGUAGCUUAACUAUCGCAGUGCCCUUGAUACUGAUGGGCUUGAAUGUACUUGAGGUAGGCGGAAUGUGACAAGUAGCGGUGAAAUGCAUAGAUAUGUCACAGAACACCAAUUGCGAAGGCAGCUUACUAAAGUAUGAUUGACGCUGAGGCACGAAAGCGUGGGGAUC
rnacentral:rRNA from 1 species